AUUGAACGCUGGCGGCAGGCCUAACACAUGCAAGUCGAACGAGUGGCGGACGGGUGAGUAAUGUCUGGGAAACUGCCUGAUGGAGGGGGAUAACUACUGGAAACGGUAGCUAAUACCGCAUACCAUCGGAUGUGCCCCGAUGUGAUUAGCUAGUAGGUGGGGUAAUGGCUCACCUAGGCGACGAUCCCUAGCUGGUCUGAGAGGAUGACAAGCCACACUGGAACUGAGACACGGUCCAGACGCGUACGGGAGGAAGAAGUGGGGAAUAUUGCACAAUGGGCGCAAGCCUGAUGCAGCCAUGCGGCGUGUAUGAAGAAGGCCUUCGGGUUGUAAAGUACUUUAAGCGAGGAGGCGUUACUCGCAGAAGAAGCACCGGCUAACUCCGUGCCAGCAGCCGCGGUAAUAC
rnacentral:rRNA from 1 species